AGAGUUUGAUCCUGGCUCAGGAUGAACGCUGGCGGCGUGCCUAAUACAUGCAAGUCGAGCGAACGGACGAGAAGCUUGCUUCUCUGAUGUUAGCGGCGGACGGGUGAGUAACACGUGGAUAACCUACCUAUAAGACUGGGAUAACUUCGGGAAACCGGAGCUAAUACCGGAUAAUAUUUUGAACCGCAUGGUUCAAAAGUGAAAGACGGUCUUGCUGUCACUUAUAGAUGGAUCCGCGCUGCAUUAGCUAGUUGGUAAGGUAACGGCUUACCAAGGCAACGAUGCAUAGCCGACCUGAGAGGGUGAUCGGCCACACUGGAACUGAGACACGGUCCAGACUCCUACGGGAGGCAGCAGUAGGGAAUCUUCCGCAAUGGGCGAAAGCCUGACGGAGCAACGCCGCGUGAGUGAUGAAGGUCUUCGGAUCGUAAAACUCUGUUAUUAGGGAAGAACAUAUGUGUAAGUAACUGUGCACAUCUUGACGGUACCUAAUCAGAAAGCCACGGCUAACUACGUGCCAGCAGCCGCGGUAAUACGUAGGUGGCAAGCGUUAUCCGGAAUUAUUGGGCGUAAAGCGCGCGUAGGCGGUUUUUUAAGUCUGAUGUGAAAGCCCACGGCUCAACCGUGGAGGGUCAUUGGAAACUGGAAAACUUGAGUGCAGAAGAGGAAAGUGGAAUUCCAUGUGUAGCGGUGAAAUGCGCAGAGAUAUGGAGGAACACCAGUGGCGAAGGCGACUUUCUGGUCUGUAACUGACGCUGAUGUGCGAAAGCGUGGGGAUCAAACAGGAUUAGAUACCCUGGUAGUCCACGCCGUAAACGAUGAGUGCUAAGUGUUAGGGGGUUUCCGCCCCUUAGUGCUGCAGCUAACGCAUUAAGCACUCCGCCUGGGGAGUACGACCGCAAGGUUGAAACUCAAAGGAAUUGACGGGGACCCGCACAAGCGGUGGAGCAUGUGGUUUAAUUCGAAGCAACGCGAAGAACCUUACCAAAUCUUGACAUCCUUUGACAACUCUAGAGAUAGAGCCUUCCCCUUCGGGGGACAAAGUGACAGGUGGUGCAUGGUUGUCGUCAGCUCGUGUCGUGAGAUGUUGGGUUAAGUCCCGCAACGAGCGCAACCCUUAAGCUUAGUUGCCAUCAUUAAGUUGGGCACUCUAAGUUGACUGCCGGUGACAAACCGGAGGAAGGUGGGGAUGACGUCAAAUCAUCAUGCCCCUUAUGAUUUGGGCUACACACGUGCUACAAUGGACAAUACAAAGGGCAGCGAAACCGCGAGGUCAAGCAAAUCCCAUAAAGUUGUUCUCAGUUCGGAUUGUAGUCUGCAACUCGACUACAUGAAGCUGGAAUCGCUAGUAAUCGUAGAUCAGCAUGCUACGGUGAAUACGUUCCCGGGUCUUGUACACACCGCCCGUCACACCACGAGAGUUUGUAACACCCGAAGCCGGUGGAGUAACCUUUUAGGAGCUAGCCGUCGAAGGUGGGACAAAUGAUUGGGGUGAAGUCGUAACAAGGUAGCCGUAUCGGAAGGUGCGGCUGGAUCACCUCCUUU
rnacentral:rRNA from 4 species